rnacentral:SRP_RNA from 1 species
GCCAGGCAUGGUGGUGUGCACCUGUAUUCCCAGCCACUGCAGAGACUGAGGCAAGAGGAUUGCUUGAGCCCAGGAGUUCUUGGCUAUAGUCUACUAUGCCGAUUACAUAUCCACAAUAAGUUUGGCAUCAAUACUGAUGGCUCCGGGAGUUGGUACCACCAGGUUGCCUAAGGAGAGGUGAACCAACCCAGGUCGGAAAUGGAGCAGAACUCCCAUGCUUAUAGUGCCUGUGAAUAGCCACUGUACUGCAGCUUGGGCAAUAUAGGGAUAUCGCCAUCU